ACGGGUGAGUAAUACAUCGGAACGUGCCCGAUCGUGGGGGAUAACUACUCGAAAGAGUAGCUAAUACCGCAUACGAUCUACGGAUGAAAGCGGGGGACCUUAGGGCCUCGAGCGGACGGAGCGGCCGAUGGCAGAUUAGGUAGUUGGUGGGAUAAAAGCUUACCAAGCCGACGAUCUGUAGCUGGUCUGAGAGGACGACCAGCCACACUGGGACUGAGACACGGCCCAGACUCCUACGGGAGGCAGCAGUGGGGAAUUUUGGACAAUGGGCGAAAGCCUGAUCCAGCAAUGCCGCGUGCAGGAUGAAGGCCUUCGGGUUGUAAACUGCUUUUGUACGGAACGAAAAGGCUCCUUUUAAUACAGGGGGCUCAUGACGGUACCGUAAGAAUAAGCACCGGCUAACUACGUGCCAGCAGCCGCGGUAAUACGUAGGGUGCGAGCGUUAAUCGGAAUUACUGGGCGUAAAGCGUGCGCAGGCGGUUAUGUAAGACAGAGGUGAAAUCCCCGGGCUCAACCUGGGAACUGCCUUUGUGACUGCAUAGCUAGAGUACGGCAGAGGGGGAUGGAAUUCCGCGUGUAGCAG
rnacentral:rRNA from 1 species